rnacentral:lncRNA from 1 species
GCCAGGACCAAGCGGAGGGCAGCCCCGGAGCUGGCCGCCCCCAGCGCGCGCUCACCAGCUCGGCGCUCAGCCGGCCCAGUGCGCCCUCGAAGCACGCCCGGCUCUGCUGCUCGCGCGCCGCCGCCCGCUGGAAGGCGCUCGCCAGCCGCCGCCUGAGGUCUUCCAGCAGCUGGCGGGCGGCGGGGGCCUCCUCCGGCACGCGCACGCUCUGGCCGCCCCCGGGGAAGCCGCGCGCGUGACGCGGGGCUGGGGGCCAGAUCCCGGCCCUGCCUGGGACUCUGCGGGGCCCGCGGGAAGCUCUGUUUCGGCGGCGGCGGGACGCCCUGGGCCCAUCUGAGAGAUGCCGGUGCCAGCCUUCCAGAUGGGAUCCUGAGGUUCAACGAAGUUAAGAGACUUACCUAAGGUCAUGUAGUAGACAUGGCUAAAGUGGGAUUUGAUUCCAGAUUAUAUGGCUCCAAGGAUGCUUGAUGAGCAGUGCCAGGUCUGCACCUGGGAUCCGAACCCAUGAACCCCAGGCCACCGAAGCAGAGCACACUAACUCAACCACUACACCACUGGGCCGGCCCCUGGAUGACCAUUUUAAAUUGUCAGUAAUCACACGGAACCAGUAUAAUCAUCUCGAUCACAUCCUUUAAGUGUGUAAGACUUACUCCAAAGAGAAAGGUAUUGAAGGAAGAGAAUACUGGUAUUCAUCAUGAAUGGAGACAUAGUGCUGCAGCUCAGGUUCUAAGUCCUUGCAGUUCUUCUACAUGGGACACCGCCACAGCAUGGCUUGAUGAGUGGUGUAUGUCCGUGCCCAGGAUCUGAACCAGUGAACCCCAGGAUGUUGAAGCAGAGCACACGAACUUAACCACUAAGCCACUGGGCUGGCCCCUAAAUCUUUCUUUAUCUGGAACUCAACUCUACCCAUCCACCUUGCCUUAGAUUUAGAAUGUAAUUCCUCUUUUUUAUUUGACGUUCACAUUUUUCUUCAAUCCGUGUAAUUUACUUUUAUGACUAGC